GUCCACGCCGUAAACGAUGUCAACUAGCCGUUGGAGACCUUAGAGUCUUUAGUGGCGCAGCUAACGCACUAAGUUGACCGCCUGGGGAGUACGGCCGCAAGGUUAAACUCAAAUGAAUUGACGGGGCCCGCACAAGCGGUGGAGCAUGUGGUUUAAUUCGAUGCAACGCGAAGAACCUUACCGCCCCUUGACAUCCUGGGAACUCGCUAGAGAUAGCUUGGUGCCGAAAGGAGCCCAGAGACAGGUGCUGCAUGGCUGUCGU
rnacentral:rRNA from 1 species